UUGAUGACAAAAUCACCAGCUACAUCAGCAGGCAAACAAGUAAUGCCAUGAUACAGCUUCAUUAAGACUGAAUAGGAAGCAACUCAGAGAAUAAAAUAGCUGACAGCUUUACAAACACCAAACUUAACAGCAGUGUUGCGAAGUUAAGACGACGAUAGAUCUAAUAACUAAUGAUUUAGCUGACACCUUUACAAACACCAAACUUAACAGCAGUUUUGCGAAGUUAAGAUGAUGAUAGAUCUAAUAGCUAAUGAUUCAAACGAUUUCCAACACAAAAAAACAAACUACUCAUACACAGGCAACCCAAUAUUACUGAAUGAAAUCACUGAUAAUCACCUAUUUUUUAACUGUUAUGGAAUGAUACAGUUAAAUUCAGGCUCCUGUUAUUACAGAGUGAUCAUGACCUAGCGAGAAACCACUGAUAUUUGGUCAAAUCAGUAGCCUAUCUCGACUGAACACCAAAAUUAACAAUGAGGAAACAGGCGAUUUCCAACACAAAAAACAAACUACACAUACACAGGCAGCCAAAUAUUACGGAAUGAAAUCACUGAUCAUCACCUAUUUAAUGUAUUGUUACGGAAUGAUACAGUUUAUCAGUUUAUUUAGGCUCAAAAUACUGAUCAUCACCUAUUUAAUGCAUUGUUAUGGAAUGAUACAGUUUAUCAGUUUAUUUAGGCUUACGGAGGGAUCAUUGUAUAACGAGAAACCACUUUGAUGAAGGAAAAGAAAAUAAAGUGACCCCUAUUUCACUACAUUGGACGAACUUUUAAUACCACACUGUUCCAACUUACUUUCUUCACACAUUCAAUAGAGUGUUUCACUGUCAUGGAGUAAAAAUUGAAUACAAAAUCAAGCCAUUACUAUGAAAGAACCAGACUAAUAGAACACUCCACGACACCAGAUUUGCAACAUCAGCAGGGGAUCCAUUUCGAAGCAAGUAUGAGCUGAGGAUAACACUAAAACAUUCUUCAAAAUCAAUACAAACACGAAUACGAUAUUGAAACCACACAAAUUUUACUCCUCAUAUAUUCAGAAGCUGACUCACUACACAUGAAUUCAUGGAGAACAUUGAAAGCAUAACAAUAAAUGAAGUCGAGGGUAACCAUACAAGCCUCAUCUAUUUUUGUUUAACAUUCCAUGAAUUCAUGGAGAACAUUGAAAGCAUAACAAUAAAUGAAGUCGAGGGUAACCAUACGAGCCUCGUCUAUUAUCACGACUGAAUCCAUUUUAAUAAUCCUUCCAGGUCCAUCCAGGACUCAUUCACAACAGAAAUAAUAGAAGGAGAGAGAUAAACCUGAAAAAAAUGCAAGAGAAUCUCAGCACUUGAAAUCGAUUCAAUUCAACAUCGGCCACAUAUCGAUGCCUCGAUCAGCAACAAAUUCCAAUAACUUUUAAGACGGAAUAUAUGUAUUUCAAAACGGGUGAACAGUGAAUCGAACAACAAAAUUCACAAGACUUCAAACAGUUUUUUGUAUAUGUGUUUUUUAGAAUCAACAUCGCGAAUAAAAAAACAGAAUGAAUGUGAAGAACACUAGCUAUAGAAUUUUACUACUCUUCUAUUUGCCCUUCAGGUCCUCUCUCUCCAAAAUAAAACCCCCGUAUGUAAAAUCCAAUCCUGUACUUUAUAGAGACGAACCCCUAAUGAAAAUGGGGCUUGGAUUGAACGAAGUCAAUCCAACGACUCAUCCUCAUCCAACGAUUCGUCUCUAGGACCUUCCAAUCGCGUGCUAAAUCUCUGAGUUGAGAGAGUGAAGGGAGGAAGCAUUUUUAGUGUCAGAAAUCGUUAGAAAUGAAAUCGCGUGCUAAAUCUCUGACCUGAGCGAGUGAAGGGAGGGAGAAUUUUUAGUUCCAGAAAUCAUUAGAAAUGGUGAUAUAAGAGAAGUAGGGACGCGUGAGGAGGGUAUUGAGACUCACUCGCUCAAAAUCUUGGCAAUUUUGGGAAGGGAUUCGUGCGAUUUGGUGAGGAGGAUGAAUAGUGUGUGUUUGGGUUAGGGAUUUAGGUUGUAUGGAUCUCUGUGUAUGUAUCGCGUGUUUUUUGUGCGAAUGGGUUAGGUCAUGGGCGGGUUUGGGGGUUAUUGGAU
rnacentral:lncRNA from 1 species